rnacentral:tRNA from 2 species
CGCAGCGCCUUGCGCAGGUCCCAGCCGCUGACGUCCAGGUCGUCGGCGAUCGGCAGUUCGAUCACGUCGCGCUGCGGC